rnacentral:rRNA from 1 species
AUUGAACGCUGGCGGCAGGCCUAACACAUGCAAGUCGAACGAGUGGCGGACGGGUGAGUAAUGCUUGGGAAUCUGGCUGAUGGAGGGGGAUAACUACUGGAAACGGUCGCUAAUACCGCAUACCAUCGGAUGUGCCCAGAUGGGAUUAGGUCGUUGGUGGGGUAAAGGCUCACCAAGGCGACGAUCCCUAGCUGGUCUGAGAGGAUGACCAGACACACUGGAACUGAGACACGGUCCAGACUCCUACGGGAGGCAGCAGUGGGGAAGAUUGCACAAUGGGCGCAAGCCUGAUGCAGCCAUGCCGCGUGUAUGAAGAAGGCCUUCGGGUGGUAAAGUACUUUCAGCGAGGAGGCGUUAACCGCAGAAGAAGCACCGGCUAACUCCGUGCCAGCAGCCGCGGUAAUUC